UCUCCGUUGGUGAACCAGCGGAGGGAUCAUUACCGAGUUAUCAACUCCCAAACCCCUGUGAACAUACCCAACGUUGCUUCGGCGGGACCGCCCCGGCGCCCUCGGCGUCCCGGAACCAGGCGCCCGCCGGAGGACCCAAACUCUUGUUUAAACCAUAGUGGCAUAUUCUGAGUCUCUCAAGAAAAAUGAAUCAAAACUUUCAACAACGGAUCUCUUGGCUCUG
rnacentral:misc_RNA from 1 species